GUUUUUACAGAUUGUGCUCCUGAAAUACCCAAUGAGAGCUGUAACUGUGCUGUGAUCUCAGCCAAAAUUCCUGUGCUUGUUAGAAACUACUAUGCUUUGAGUUGCAGAAAGAGCUCAUUCAGGGCCUGGUUCAAGGGAAUGCAUCAUGUUGUUCUGGCUCAUGAACAAUGUCAAAUGUUGAAUGCAGUGAUGGGACUUUCAGUAAUAAAAUGAUUUAGAAAGAAGUUCGCAAGAUCUCUCAGGCCUAAUAUUUAUAUGAUAACAUCCCAGUAAAAUUUAAUUGCAGAUUUAAACAUCUAAUUAUAAUCCUAUACGAUCUUUAUACUGAAGCAAAAGAUUUUUAACAGGAAGUAGAAAAAUUAUUUUUCAGGUUAUUCUCAAAACUAGCACUACCACAUUGUUGGAUGCUACGGUGACCAGCUGCUUGCAACUACUACCAGGGAAGGAAUUAUAAAAAGAAAAAGAAAAGUGCUGCAGAAAAGUGCAGGAAUGAAAGAUCCAGACUUGAGAAGACGUGGGAGGAAGAGGAAGAAGCAUGGCCCUCCUCGGCUUCCCCAAAGUAAAAUCCAACAAACCAACAAAUAAAACUAACCCAAUCUCACUACUAAAAUUUUCACUUAGGAUGGCUUAUUAACUUCCUGUUGGGCUCUUCUUUCAGUUUCCUCUAAACUCAUUCCAACUGUUACCUUUAGGGUACAUUAUCUACUAUUGGCAUGUGUGUUUCUUCCAUCUUCUCUUACAGAGGAAGAUGCAUGCAAUGGAAUAUUUUGUUAUCUAGAAUAUUAGUCUAUACUAGAGAAGACUGCCUGAAAAAGUAACUUCUUAGAUUGGGAAGCAGGGAGAUUAGUCUUAAAACUCACAGCAUUUGAUACUGCAGUGUCUGACAUCAUUCUCUGAAAACACUCUCUGCAACUAAAUGAACUUUAAUCUUAUCACACAUUUCAUUAGGUAAGAUAAGUGGAAUUUGUCAAUCAUAGUAUUCAUUGUAAAAGAGUUGCACUAACUGUUGAGAAUAGUUUUUUAUCAAGGUAAGUUCUCACUGACAAAAUGUGGUAGAAAGUCUGGAAAACAAACAACAAUAAAGCCACAUGCUUCUGUAGCAUCACUCACAAUUGAAAUCAAAACUAUUCUUGAAUUAUGGAAUAAAUGAAUGGAGGUUUUAUAGCUCUGUUCUAAACAUGACACUGACUGUACACUUUUCAACAUCAUUCUCCUGUUCAGACUUAGUCUGAACCAGUUGUUCACCCAUGUAUGUGAAACCUCUGCAGUGGGUUAUCUUGAUAGCAUUUG